GUGGCUGAAGGGAUAGACGAUGGCACAGGGAGGUGGGAGGUGGAAGGUGAGGGUACUCAUCCCCUCUUCCCAGGAGGACCAGUGGAUAGGGUUGUCAGACUCAGCUCAGUGUGUGCCAGGCGCUGUUCUCGGGCUCCGGAACAGAGACGAAGGAGACAUUCUCUGCCCGCGGGAGUCCCUGCCUUGGCAAAGCUUGUAAACAACCAUCGCCUCACUUCAGUUUUUCACCCAACUCAGUGUUCGCGAUCCAUCUAUGUUGAUUCAUGCAGCCCGCAAGAGGGCAGAUGUGAACAUUCCCAUUUUACAGAUGCGAAAACCGUGGCUGCUAAGCGAAAAGCGACGCGUUCCGCGACGACUAGAGGGCGGGACGCCACCGGGCCACGUGCAGCGGCGCGUCUCGCCCCUCGCGAUCCCACCCGCACACGCUCCCUCUCCUCCUCCCUCCCAGCCGCCGCCGCGCCGGGUCCACGUGUGUGUGUCUGUGUGCGGAAUGGGGACGGGGGCGGUGCCGCCGGAGGGGUGGGGUCCAGGCCAACGUCACAGGCAGCGGCGCCCAAUCAGCGGCGGGCUCGCGGCCCCGGCGCUGGUAUUGGGGCAGCGAGGGGGCAGUUCUCUAUAACGCGGUCUCCGGGAGCCAGCGGGGAAGAAAGAAGCCGAGCGGGCGGAAGGCGCCCUCCCCGCCGCCUGGGCCCGGGCACCGGGUGCCGGGCCCGGGGUCCUUCCCGCCUCCCGCGGCCGCCGGCCGCUUUGUUUCCCCGGCCUCUGCGCCCUGGUCUACUCGAGAGGGGCUCCCGCCGGGGCUGCGCAGGGAACGCGGCGGCAGGAAGGGCGGCCGACCGCGCCGGGACUCGCAGGGACCCAGGAGUCCGGCCGCCGGGAGGGCCGCGUGACGAGAUCGAGGAGGGAGCCAGAGCUCCGCGGCCCGGGGUUGCGGGCCGGGGGCGCCCGUGAGCAGAGACCUCCCCGUCGAGGGGGGGCGAUGUUCCCCUCGCCCGUGGGCUCUUCGGGCAGCCCGGGCACACCGCCGCUGGGACCAGGGCCCCCGCAGUGG
rnacentral:lncRNA from 12 species